GCUUUUCCAUUUUUGAAUAAUUAUUUUAUCAAAUGUCUACAUGUUUCUUUUUCUGUUACUUUGUUUUGUUUGAAUUUACCGCAGUUGUAUGCUAAAUUUGUUAGUUGAGAUUCAUGAGGUUUAAGCUAAUAAUUUCGUAACUGUCAUUUUGUUUCAAUUUAAAUUAGGACAAAUAAUACUAAGUGUUACUAAUAGUGAGGUUUAUGUGAAGUUGCUGCAAGUAUGAUGCUUGUUAGCCUUAUAUUUUAAGCAUUAAUUGUUUCACAUGAAGUGUUAAUGAGUAUAAUGCUAGUUGGUUCUGCUUUAUUGUUUUCACUGGUUUGAACAUAUUCUCUUAGCAUUUUAUUGUUUCCAUAAUGAUUAGGCUGUGUACGGUGGGUCUAGAUCGAUAUUUCAAGGCCUAAUUAUUAAUUGUGUGAUGAGCGAGAUGAGAUGCGUUAUUUCAAAUCUCGUUGUCAAAGGAAAAGAAAAGAGCGGAAAAACCAAUUGUAAAGGAGCAAGAUGGGUUGCGAAUUUAUUCAAAACCCGUUGUCAAAAGAGUGAAAGUUUAACCAAAUAAUAUUAAGUCUCAGAUUUUAGAGAUAAAUAAUUGUCUUUUACGCUAGAUGAGCUUUAGGUACGUUUUAAAAUGUUUGUCUUGAUUAAGAAUGCGGUCACACAUCUUAUUUCGAGACGCUUUAAACAACUCAAGGAUGCGGUUACGCACUUUGGCCAAAUUCGUUUUAACAAUUAAUUUUGAAUCGAUUAAGAAUGCAGCUACGCAUCUUAUUUUGAGACACUUAAAAGAUCCAGAAUGUGCAUCCGGGUUAAGACUAAUAAAAGUUCAACAAUAAAAAAGUACGAGCAAAUCAAGGCACGGGAACAUAAAUUAUCCAAAAUUAGUUUAAACUAAGUAUAAGUCGAUGAAGCGAUCGUGCUAGAAUCACGGGACUCGAGGCAUGCCUAACACCUUCUCCCCGGUCAACAGAAUUCCUUACCCGGUCUUUUGUUUUCGCAGACCAAUAAUAAAAGAGUCAUUUGCUUUUGAUUAGGGAUUCAUAAGGUGACUUGGGACACCAAAACUCAAUUCCAAAUGACAAUUCUGUUAAAUAAAAUAAUCCCUAUUCAAAACUGUCACUUCAAUUGAAAAAACCCAAAAAGGGGUGUGACAGUUUCAUCGGAGAUACCUUUUAUGUAGCCAAUAAUUCAGUACCCUUUACUAUUUCUAAUGACGCCUCCUAUGCCUCCUACUUCAGUAUUUCCUAUGGAGAAGCCAUUAGUGUUAAGCUUAUAAGUACCCCUAUCAUAUGGCUCCCAUUUGACAUUAAAUAAUGUCCUCUUACUGGUGUUUAAAUCACUUCUGGUUAGUCGAUCAUACUUCAGUCUUUGAGUACAAAUUAUUAAAGGAUGGUAGAUCAUUUCUUCCAUUAAAUUAAUUAGUGUUCCUAUUUAGCCAGAUAUGCCAGAAAUAAAAAAGGUAAGAGAUAAUUCCAACCGAUAAGGUUAUUAAAAGGCCUGUCUGCAAUUCUUUUCCAAGUGGCAUGUCAGUUAGCACUUAGGAGCAUCAAAGGAAGAACUUGAUAUAGAGUCAUCAAUUGUAAUAUUUAAAAUAUUUAAAUAAUUUUAUGAAUUUAAAUUGGAAUGAGGUAUAGAAACACACCUAAACUAUGAUGAAAUUGUCAAUUACAUAUCUAAACUAUGCGGGGAUCCUAUUACAUUCCUGAACUUUUUUUUUUUUUUUGUAUUAUUUACCUCCUUCACUAAUUACCUGAAAAAAUUAAUCAGUUAAUACGUAUCAUGCAUACAUGCGCCUAUCCUAGAUUAAAAAAAGAAAAAAGAAAAAAGAAAAAAAGAGGAGUUUUAAUAUCUUAUUUUAUUUGAUUCUUUUAGACCCAAACCGAUUAGACAUCACUGUCUCUCAAGUCUCAACCCCUAGAUGAAUGAUAACAUUUUCACUCUGUGUUAUACUUUAAUGGAGCCUAAAUUUUCCGUUCCUUUUUCUAGUUAGACAUGUUCUUUGCAUCUAAUAUACUCGAGAGCGUGGACUUUCUCAUUUGUUUGAAUAUGUUCAAUGCGAAAUGCUUAGGCUUGACUUUAUUCCUUAUGCAGAAUUCUUUAUUAGUUUAAAGAGAUGCUGAAUAUUACUCAGAAAUUUUGAUUAGCUUAUAGGAGAUAAUGGUAAAAAACACACAUGAGCUAUCAUUUUUCGUGAGUUUCACACUCCAACUAUCCACUGUUUCCUUUGCCUACCUAAACUAUCACUAUCUAUGAAUUUAAGCACACCUCAUUAAGUAGUUGACAGUGCGUAAUGUACAUACUCAAUUUUUGUUUUAAAAAAAAAAGGUUUUCAAGUGGCCCUCCACGUGGAUAAAUAUUUUCACCUAUGCAAAACUAAAAUAACUAGAAUUAGGUUAGAACUUAAAAAAGUGGCCUGUUUGUGAUUGUUUUUGAAUCAUUUGUCCUUGUCAGCUUCGAGGUAUGUUUAAACACAUCGAUAGUGAUAGUUCAGGUGUGUUUUUACCAUUAUCUCUAGCUUAAAGAAAUAUUGAAUGUUGCUCAGAAUCCUGGAUUAGCUUAAAGAGAUGUUGAAUAUUACUCAGAAUCAUUGACGUUGUAUUUUGUUGUGUCUGAGACUUGAAAAAUGAUGACACCCGGCCGGUUUAUGUUUGAAAGAACCAAAUGAAAUAAAACAUCAAAAAUCCCCCUCUUCUUUUUAUCUAGUAUAGGCGCGGAUAUGUAUAUGGCAUAUUUUAACUUUUUUUUUUACUAGGUAAUUAGUGAAGGGGUAAAUAAUACGAAAAAGAUAAGUUCGGGGUGAGAGGUAAUAGGAACACCCCCCCCCCCCCGCGCGCGCGCGCAUAGUCUUAGGUGUGUAAUUGAAAAUUUCAUCAUAGUUUAGGUGUGUUUCUAUGCCUUAACAACAACAGACCCAGUGCAAUCCCACAAGUGGGGUCUGGAUAGGGUGGUGAAUACACAACCUUAUCCGUAACUAGUGAAGGUUAAGAGGUUAUUUCCGAUAGACCCUCGGCUCAAGUAAAACAUAUUAAAAUCAAGUAUGGAAAGAAAAUACACAAUGAAGAAAUUGUACUGAAAAUAAUGGAGAAGAGAACAAUAGCAACAACAAGUAAUAUGAUAACCAAAGCAAAGGGAACAACAUGUAAUAAUAAAAUCGAAGAAUAACACAGUAGGAGAGUAAUAAUAACAAUAUUGACGAGGAAAACUUGACAACGCUCGACUACUUAUUAUCCUUCUACUCGAAUCCUCGACCUCCAUAUCCUCAUAUCUAGGGUUAUGUCCCCGGUAAGCUGCAAGUGUUCUAUGUUCUGUCUAAUCUCCUCUCUCCAAUACUUCAUCAACCUACCUCUACCUCUCGUCAUAUCCACAUAUCCACAUAUCCAACCUCUCACACCUCUUUACUAGGACAUCGGCGCAUCUCCUUUUCACAUGCCUGAGCCAUCUCAGUCUCGCUUUCCUCAUCUUGUCAGUUACCCUGAAAUCAUUUUGUGUAUACUUCCUUAUAUUUUGAUUUCUCUUUCUAUAUAAUAUGUAUAUUUAAUUUAAUUUAAACUAUUAAUAAGUGAAGCUUUGGUUGUACGACAAAGGGUAUUUCUGGUAUAUCACUUUUAAUUACUCUGAUGACACGUUUUCAGUUAGUGUGAUACAACUGGUUUCAACCUUCCAAAAUUUAUGUCAAACAACAAUGGAGGCUAAAAUUAACGGUGGUUUUCCAUCGAUUGAAGCUCAGUCCAUUUCUUUCUUCCUUCUUUGGUGUUCUCUUGUUCUUUUUUUUUUUCUCCUCUGUUGGACUGCUGGACUAAUGAUAAAUCCGUACAUUUGCCAAAGUCCAUGAAUUUCCGAUUGAUGGGAUCCAAUCAAGACACUUCAUAUUCACGAUAAUUUUUGGGUGAGGAACAAGGCUUGAAGUUUCAUCAUGAAUGAUUAAGUUGUUCUAGCUGUUGUUGGUUUCUGUUAUCCUAGCAUGUACUAUGAAAUCUUAACAUCUUCACCCUACGCUCUACAAUAUUUAUGUUGUACAAAUUGCACCGAUGAAAGAAAUUAGUAAAAUACCUAGAUUAGAGCUAAUAUGUUAUGGGCUUACGGCCGUAAUAGUAUUCACUCGAGGUGUUGAAAUUAUAUUGUUUUCAACAUUAGUGAAAUUUUUUGCUUAAGUUCAGUUCUAAAAGUCUUGUUUUUAUUUCUAUAUAGAUAGCUUAUCAUGUAAGUUUAAGUCAUCUUCACUUCCUCUCUUGUAACCAAUCUCUUAUUUUUCUCUCAAAAGCAAUAUACAUACAGGCGCAUCAUUUAUCUUGGAA